rnacentral:lncRNA from 1 species
UGCAGCCUCAAGGAGAUGCCAGGAAAGAAUACCUUCAAUUUUCCAUCCUAAAUAAUUUGGUAAAAAAAUAAUCAUGCCAAGUCAUAAAUAUCUAGCUAGUUUGGUUAAACUUGUAUGCCAAGAUGCUUCCUUCAUCUAAAGUCCUACUUUGUUUCAUGCUUAGUUCUCCAAAGAUGGGAAUAUUCUCAGUGAGAAGUACCUUUAAGAUCUUGCUUUCUGCCAUGACAGAGAAGAAAGUGAAGUAAAGUGAUUCAAUAGGAAUUCCAGUAGUUUAAAAUCUACAGAGAUUAUCAACCCAAGAAAAUCUCAAGGAAAAUGAAACAAGCUUUUGACAUUUUACCUACAUAGAAACUCCAUUUUUUUUUUAGUCUUUUGAUCUUUGUUCAUUUCCCAUAAGGACAGAUGGCAUAAUGGUGAAUAUCUGAAAAAAGAAUUGAGGUGACAAAAAAAUAGGAGAAUUUGACAAAAGAUAAAAUAAUUGUCAAAUGCAUUGGAGAAUCAAGGUGAAGAUUCAGAUUUUAGAUGUGAAUGAGCACUAGCUGUUCAACAUCUUUCAUCAGGUAUUUGCAAUACAGAUGCAGGAAGAGGGAUACUAGAAUUCAGUUCUUAAGUGUUAACUUAGCAAAUGUUGUAGAAAAUGAGGACUCAGUGGAGGCUGCAUCUCAUACUUGUGUCCCUGUUCCUGGGUAUUAUCCUUCAUAACACAUUGUACACUUUCAUAUAUGUUCACUGAGUUAAGGAAAGGAGGAAGUGUGGAAGGAAAAAAUAAGUAAGUGGUACUUAUUCAACUUCCUAAUUUAGAAUGUAGCCACUU